rnacentral:rRNA from 1 species
UACGGAGGGUGCAAGCGUUAAUCGGAAUUACUGGGCGUAAAGCGUGCGCAGGCGGUUUGUUAAGUCUGUUGUGAAAUCCCCGAGCUCAACUUGGGAAUUGCAAUGGAUACUGGCAGGCUAGAGUAUGGUAGAGGAAGGUGGAAUUCCCGGUGUAGCAGUGAAAUGCGUAGAGAUCGGGAGGAACACCAGUGGCGAAGGCGGCCUUCUGGACCAAUACUGACGCUCAUGCACGGAAGCGUGGGGAGCAAACAGG